rnacentral:rRNA from 1 species
GAUGAACGCUGGCGGCGUGCCUAAUACAUGCAAGUCGAGCGAACAGACGAGGAGCUUGCUCCUCUGACGUUAGCGGCGGACGGGUGAGUAACACGUGGAUAACCUACCUAUAAGACUGGGAUAACUUCGGGAAACCGGAGCUAAUACCGGAUAAUAUAUUGAACCGCAUGGUUCAAUAGUGAAAGACGGUUUUGCUGUCACUUAUAGAUGGAUCCGCGCCGCAAUUAGCUAGUUGGUAAGGUAACGGCUUACCAAGGCAACGAUGCGUAGCCGACCUGAGAGGGUGAUCGGCCACACUGGAACUGAGACACGGUCCAGACUCCUACGGGAGGCAGCAGUAGGGAAUCUUCCGCAAUGGGCGAAAGCCUGACGGAGCAACGCCGCGUGAGUGAUGAAGGUCUUCGGAUCGUAAAACUCUGUUAUUAGGGAAGAACAAAUAGUGUAA